GUGGAGUCAUGCUUCUACCCCAAAAUUACUCUGGGGUCUGGGCCCAGUACCGUGUAUAAAUUGUCCAUUGGCAGACAACAUCUCUUAAGCCAUGACUGGGUUUGUCCACCCAUUCUCUAACACUAAAAUUCUGGGGAGAAAACUGGUAGAAAAGAAUUUUUCUUUGUUUUCUCAUUUAGAUGUUGCCAUGCCCAAUGAUGACCCUGCAAAGGGGACACAAGACUCUUCCUUCGGCAAAACAAAUGUGACAGUCUAUCACUGUGAGAGCAAUAUAUGCGAAUUAAGCAAUUAUGAAGAUUGUGCAAAAAUUGGUGAAACACAGAAUGAGAGAUUUUCAAAUGAAAUAAUUCAGUUGGCGACCAGUGAAACACAGAUCACGAUGUGCUUUCAUCAAGGAAAUAUUUUUCCUGACGGAAUUUAUGCAAUCUUCUGGGAGAAAGACACGGGAGCAGGAGACUCAUGUGGCAUCCUGAAUUAUGAAGCUUCCUUGGAAAACAGGGGGGGAAACAUCAUUACAGAGGAGGCUAAAAUUUGCUGCGAAACAGGCACAGACCUCUCAAUGCCCAACCAUGCCCUGAGGUGCUACACUGAAGUGUUGGAUACAAAACCCAGAAAAUCAACAGCCUUCAUUGCUGGUGAGGGAAAUCAAUGUAAUAGCUUCAUGUAUGUGUUUGCCUUUUGCUUUGAGAGCGUUUUGCCUGGACAGAUGUGAACAGAGUUUCACAUGGGUGGCAUGGGGA
rnacentral:lncRNA from 1 species